rnacentral:rRNA from 1 species
GUUCGGACUGUAGUCUGNAACCCGACUACACGAAGCUGGAGUCGCUAGUAAUCGCGAAUCAGAAUGUCGCGGUGAAUACGUUCCCGGGUCUUGUACACACCGCCCGUCACACCAUGGGAGUCGGGAAUGCCCGAAGUCAGUGACCCAACCUAUUGGAGGGAGCUGCCGAAGGCAGGUCUGAUAACUGGGGUGAAGUCGUAACAAGGUACC